GCUACACAUGCAGUCAAGGGCUUAUUUGUAGCAAUACGGAUAGGCACUGGCGCACGGGUGAGUAACGCGUAGAUAAUCUGCCCCUAACACAGGCACAACAGUUCUAACGGACUGCUAAUACCUGAUGAGGAGGAAGCUCCAAAGAAUUUCGGUUAGGGAUGAGUCUGCGUCUGAUUAGGUAGUUGGUGAGGUAACGGCUCACCAAGCCUACGAUCAGUAGCUGGUCUGAGAGGACGAACAGCCACACUGGAACUGAGACACGGUCCAGACUCCUACGGGAGGCAGCAGUGAGGAAUAUUGGUCAAUGGGAGCAAUCCUGAACCAGCGACGCCGCGUGUGGGAUGACGGGGCUACGCCCUGUAAACCACUGUCGGAUGGGACGAAAAGCGAGUUUCACUCGCCGGGACGGUACCAUCAAAGGAAGGAUCGGCUAACUACGUGCCAGCAGCCGCGGUAAUACGUAGGAUCCAAGCGUUGUCCGGAUUUACUGGGUGUAAAGGGUGCGUAGGCGGGCAGGUGCGUCAGAGGUGAAAUCUCCCGGCUUAACUGGGAGGGUGCCUUUGAUACGGCUUGUCUCGAGUGCGAGAGAGGAUGAUGGAAUUCCUGGUGUAGCGGUGAAAUGCGUAGAUAUCAGGAGGAACACCAGUGGCGAAGGCGAUCAUCUGGCUCGUAACUGACGCUGAGGCACGAAAGCGUGGGGAGCAAACAGGAUUAGAUACCCUGGUAGUCCACGCCUUAAACGAUGGGUACUAGAUUUGGCGGGUCUUGACCCCUGCCGAGUCGGCGCUAACGCAAUAAGUA
rnacentral:rRNA from 1 species